rnacentral:rRNA from 1 species
GUGCACCAGUCGAGAAACCUCCGCAAUACACGAAAGUGUGACGGGGCCAUCCCGAGUGCCGUCCGCUGAGGACGGCUUUUCCCCAGUGUACACAGCUGGGGGAAUAAGGAGAGGGCAAGCCUGGUGUCAGCCGCCGCGGUAAUACCAGCUCUCCGAGUGGUGGGGACGCUUAUUGGGCCUAAAGCAUCCGUAGCCGGCUGGGCAAGUCCUCCGUUAAAUCCAACGAUUCAAUCGUUGGGCUGCGGGGGAUACUGUCCAGCUUGGGGGCGGGAGAGGCCGGCGGUAUUCCCGGGGUAGGGGUGAAAUCCUAUAAUCCCGGGAGGACCACCAGUGGCGAAGGCUGUCGGCUAGAACGCGCCCGACGGUGAGGGAUGAAAGCU